UUUUUUUUAAAAAAGAAAUCUCUAUACAACUUUCAGCAACGGAUCUCUUGGCUCUCGCAUCGAUGAAGAACGCAGCGAAAUGCGAUAAGUAAUGUGAAUUGCAGAAUUCAGUGAAUCAUCGAAUUUUUGAACGCACCUUGCACUCCUUGGUAUUCUGAGGAGUAUGCCUGUUUGAGUGUCAUUAAAUAUAUAAUCAACCUCUUCAAGUUUUGCUUGUUGAGUGUUUGGAUUUGGGGGAUUAUGCUGGUCUUCUUAGGUCAGCUCUCCUGAAAUAUAUUAGCAGAACAAUUUGUUGACUGUUUAUUGAUGUGAUAACUAUCUACAUUAUUGACAGUAAUGUUAGUUCAGCUUCUUUAAUACCCAUUUUAUUAAUGUGACCUCAAAUCAGGUAAGACUACCCGCUGAACUUAAGCAUAUCAAUAAGCGGAGGAAAAGAAACUAACAAGGAUUCCCUUAGUAACUGCGAGUGAAGUGGGAAAAGCUCAAAUUUAAAAUCUGUCAGUCAUUGGCUGUCCGAGUUGUAAUCUAGAGAAGUGUUAUCCGCGCUGGACCGUGUACAAGUCUCCUGGAAUGGAGCGUCAUAGAGGGUGAGAAUCCCGUCUUUGGCACGGACUGCCAGGGCUUUUGUGAUGCGCUCUCAAAGAGUCGAGUUGUUUGGGAAUGCAGCUCAAAAUGGGUGGUAAAUUCCAUCUAAAGCUAAAUAUUGGCGAGAGACCGAUAGCGAACAAGUACCGUGAGGGAAAGAUGAAAAGAACUUUGGAAAGAGAGUUAAACAGUACGUGAAAUUGCUGAAAGGGAAACGCUUGAAGUCAGUCGCAUUGAUCGGGGAUCAACCCUUGCUUUUGCUUGGUGUACUUUUUUGGUUAAUGGGUCAGCAUCAAUUUUGACUAUUGGAGAAAGAUUAGGGGAAUGUGGCAUCUUUGGAUGUGUUGAUAGCCCCUAGUUGUAUACAAUGGUUGAGAUUGAGGAACUCAGCACGCCGCAAGGCCGGG
rnacentral:rRNA from 1 species